ACUCUAACCAUGGAAUGUAGCUGUGUUGUUCUCUUCCUCCUGUCAGUAACUGCAGGUGUCCAAUCGCAGGUCCAGCUGCAGCAGUCUGGAGGUGAGCUGGUGAGGCCUGGGGCAUCAGUGAAGCUAUCUUGCAAAGCUUCUGGCUACACCUUCACUGACCACAUUAUGAAUUGGGUAAAGCAGAAGCCUGGGCAGGGACUUGAGUGGAUUGGAAGGAUUUAUCCUGUUAAUGGUGAAACUAACUACAAUCAAAAGUUCAUGGGUAAGGCCACAUUUACCGUAGACCAAUCCUCCAGCACAGUGUACAUGGAGCUCCACAGCCUGACAUCUGCAGACCCUGCUGUCUAUUACUGUGGAAGGCACAGUGCUACAACCACAUCCUAA